GGUGCCGCAGACCUACUUCCCAUACGGAGCGUCACUUCCGCCUACCCAGAGAGCGGCCAUGCCGGAAGCGGGUGGGAGGAGUGAGGCGCCAUCCUUGACCUGUGUGUUUUGUGAUCUCACUGGUCACAGGUACCAGUGACUAAGCUUCGGUGAUUCCAGAAUGCUACUCCAAAUCCUUCCAGAAACUGCAGCAACACCCAGAGUCAGUGAACCUUCCCUUUCACACAGAUGCUGGAGAUAGAACUCAUGUUGUCAUGUGCCCUGGUCAGCAGGGCACAACUAACAUCUGGCCCACGGGAACCUGGAAUGACGGGACAAGAGACACGAGAAAGGGGAGCAGGACAGCAGGGCUGAUCGAGCUGCGUAUACUGAGGAUCUCCUACAAGCUUAUAUGGGGGAACGAGGUAGUGGGAUGGGGGCAGAGGAAGGCAGGGCAAUAAGGGAGGGGCCAUUGCCUAGUAACCAGGCCACAAAAUGUUGUUAUUCAGGGUCACUUGAAGAUGGGCAGGAUAUGUUCCUAGGACGUAAGUCUACGACUGGGGGAGUCCGGACUGCAGACCAGGUGGCAGAAGGGUGGGAGAGCCUGGACCGCAGGCCUUGAAAGUGUGCUAUGCAGGAAGUUAAGCAGACACAGAGACAUAGAAACUUAACUAAGUGUUAGUCUCUCGUUAAUACAGCAGGAAUAUGAAGAUGGCUUUUAUUUUAUUUUUUAAAAGAUUUUAUUUAUUUAUUAUGAAUACAAUAUCCUGCCUCCAUGUACGUUUGCACAU